rnacentral:misc_RNA from 1 species
UUUGUUUUUUUGUCGAACGGAUUACUCAUUCAAUACUUGAAAUUUGUUCGUAUUCUAUAGGAAUGUGAUUAUAUUAUACUCUUAAAGUUUUCGUCGAAAAGAAAAGUAUUAAAAUGAAAUUUUGUUUAGUAUGAAAAAAUUCAGAAUGGAGGUGUUAACAAACGAAGAAUAUUAAGAAAACAUUAAAUUAGCAUAUUGCUGAAUUCGUGUAAAGAUGAUCAUUUCAAAUGGAAAAGUUUCAUGUGCUACUGAAAACUAUUGGAUAAAAAGUGGCCAGCCUAUUAAACCAGUAAUAGGCUGUCCGAGUGUUACAUCAGCAAAAAUUUCUGUUUUUUGAUCCCCCAUCAUCACCAGUCAUUAGGAAUCAAGAUACCUUCCCUAAUUAUGUCAUCAGUCAGAAGAUUAAAUCAUUUUCAAAUAUAUAGGAAUUAUCUUUAAUUUUGUGAUGACUGGAGAGAAAAAUAAAUGGUGGGUGCAAUCCUAAAUCAUCAAAAAUUCACUCUCCCUUCUCCUAUCGUCAGAUACAAAUAAAUCUUCUCUACCCAUGAGUUACUGAUAUAAUACUUUGAAUGGUUCUUUACAGUAACAAGUUAAUGAAUAUAAAUAUACAUCUUAAUUUUAAUAUUUUAGUAAAUGAUAUAUUUGAAUACUUUUUUGAUUAAUAAAAAAUGUAAUUCGUGA